rnacentral:rRNA from 1 species
UACGGAGGAUCUAAGCGUUAUCCGGAAUCAUUGGGUUUAAAGGGUCCGUAGGCGGUUUGGUAAGUCAGUGGUGAAAGCCCAUCGCUCAACGGUGGAACGGCCAUUGAUACUGCCAGACUUGAAUUAUUAGGAAGUAACUAGAAUAUGUAGUGUAGCGGUGAAAUGCUUAGAGAUUACAUGGAAUACCAAUUGCGAAGGCAGGUUACUACUAAUGGAUUGACGCUGAUGGACGAAAGCGUGGGUAGCGAACAGG